GUAUGCCUACGGGACGCAGCAGUGAGGAAUAUUGGUCAAUGGGCGCAAGCCUGAACCAGCCAAGUCGCGUGAGGGAUGACGGUCCUAUGGAUUGUAAACCUCUUUUGUCAGGGAGCAAGGCCCGCCACGUGUGGCGGGAAGGAGAGUACCCGAAGAAAAAGCAUCGGCUAACUCCGUGCCAGCAGCCGCGGUAAUACGGAGGAUUCGAGCGUUAUCCGGAUUUAUUGGGUUUAAAGGGUGCGUAGGCGGGUUAUCAA
rnacentral:rRNA from 1 species